GUGGAUUAGAUACCCUGGUAGUCCUAGCUGUAAACGGUGCGUAUUUGCUGUAAAAGGAAUCGACCCCUUUUGUGGCGAAGCAAACGCGUUAAAUACGCCGCCUGGGAAGUACGGUCGCAAGAUUAAAACUCAAAGAAAUUGACGGGGGCCUGCACAAGCGGUGGAGUAUGUGGCUUAAUUCGAUGCAACGCGAAGAACCUUACCUGGCCUUGACAUGCAAGUAGUAGAACCAUGAAAGUGGGACGAGGUAGCAAUACCAGCUUGCACAGGUGCUGCAUGGUCGUCGACAGCU
rnacentral:rRNA from 1 species